UACGUAGGGCGCAAGCGUUGUCCGGAAUUAUUGGGCGUAAAGAGCUCGUAGGCGGUUUGGCAAGUCUGGGGUGAAAUCUCCACGCUCAACGUGGAGGGGCCACCCGAUACUGCCAUGACUGGAGUCCGGUAGAGGAGUGUGGAAUUCCCGGUGUAGCGGUGAAAUGCGCAGAUAUCGGGAGGAACACCCGUAGCGAAGGCGGCACUCUGGGCCGGUACUGACGCUGAGGAGCGAAAGCGUGGGGAGCAAACAGG
rnacentral:rRNA from 1 species